UCCACGAAUGCUUGCCAAGACAACCGGAAAAAAACAAUAAGGUCAUAUUCACAACUGCAAAACCCAUGCUUCUGCUCUAAGUCUUUUACUUUCUCACUUUUUAAUUGAUAACUGUCAUAUCAUAACCAACUUGCAGAGAGAUCACAAGUGUAAGGUGCUUUGCCAUUUAUAAGCUUGUUCUCAGGCCAGAAAUUAAGAACCAUCUUGAAAAAAGAAUAAAAUUACUGUCUUCUGAAGUCAUUAAUUUUGAAAUCUAUUUAAACAGCUGGAAAGUAAGGGAUUAACACUGAGCAGUAAUGCCUGGAUGAAUGACACUGUCAUAAUUGAUAGCACAGUGGGAAAGGACACAUUCUUUCUCAUCACAUGGGAAAGCCUGCCUCCCAGUAUUUCUCUCUGGGAUCCCAGUGGAAUGAUAAUGGGAAAUUUCACAGUGGAUGCAGCUUCCAAAAUAGCCUAUCUCAGUAUUCCAGGAACUGCAAAGGCGCUGAUUCUUUCAAGAAUGAUGGGGUCUACUCCAGAUAUUUUACAGCAUAUACAGAAAAUGGCAGAUACAGCUUAAAAGUACGGGCUCAUGGAGUAACAAACACUGCCAGGCUAAACUUGCGGGAUCCACUGAGUAGAGCUGCAUACAUACCAGGCUGGGUAGUAAACGGAAAUGUGUAAUGCAGGGGAAAUUGAAGCAAACCCACCAAGACCUGAAAAUAAUGAGGAUACUCAGGCCACCUUGGAGAAUUUCAGCCGAACAGCGUCCGGAGGUGCAUUUGUGGUAUCACAAGUCCCAAGCCUUCCCUUGCCUGACCUAUACCCCCCAAGUCAAAUCACAGACCUUGAUGCCACACCUCAUGAAGGUGAGAUUGUUCUUACAUGGACAGCACCAGGAGAUGAUUUUGAUGUUGGAAAAGGUAAGGACGAAGUGUAAUGUGAUUUUGACUUAAGUGAAAAGUGCUAAUUGCAAAAACAAGGGUGUAAGAGUGGGUGAGGGGAGAAUGGUUUUAAAUUGAUAGCUUAGCGAAGCAUUAAUUUUAUAAUCUGAUAUUUUUCAAUCAAUCAAGUGACACAUUUUAACAUGGUCCUACUUUUUACACAGAGAAGAUAGCAGUUUGCAGAGCUUAAGAUCAGAAUUCGGCUUUUAUUAAAAAAUGAGUAAGGCUUUUGAUAUGAGUACAUGUUUUGCAUAACUAGACAUUUUUGAGAAUAAAUAAAAAGAAAUAAAUAUGCUGCACUCCAGUCUCUAAACUCUUGUAACUUUUUUUUCUUAGUUGAACAUUAUAUCAUAAGAAUAAGUGGAAGUAUCCUUGAUCUAAGAGACAGUUUUGAUGAUGCUCUUCAAGUAAAUACUACUGAUCUGUCACCAAAGGAGGCCAACUCCAAGGAAAUCUUUGCAUUUAAACCAGGAAAUAUCUCAGAAGAAAAUGCAACCCACAUAUUUAUUGCCAUUAAAAGUAUAGAUAAAAGCAAUUUGACAUCGAAAGUCUCCAAUAUUGCUCAAGUAGCUUUGUUUAUCCCUCAAGCAAAUCCUGAUGAAAAUUAUACUACUCCUACUCCAGACAAAAAUUAUACUACUCCUACUCCAGAUAAAAAUUAUACUACUGCUAUUCCUGAUAAAAAUCAUCAUUCUGGAGUUAAUAUUUCUACCCUGGUAUUGUCUGUGGUUGGGUCUGUUGUAAUUCUUAGCAUUAUUUUAAGUACCACCAUUUGAAUCUUAACAAGGGAAAAAUCUACAAGUAGACCUAGAACAGGGUUUUAGAAAACAAAACAGGAUAAGUAAAAGGUAUUUCUGAAUCUCAAAAUUCAUCCCGUGUGUGAUCAUAAACUCACAAAAAUAAUUUUAAAUGUCUAAAAUAAUUUUUAAGGAUACUUGGAUUAAAUAAAACAUCCAUGGAUAUGUAAAGAACUGUGUGAAAAUUUAAAUUUAAUAAUUGUACUUAUUUGUUAUUUUAUUUGUAAGAAAUAGAGAUGAACAAAAACCCUUUUUCAUACUCAUUCCUGGUUGUAUAUUAUUUGAUACAAAAGUUUUCUGAAAUGAUAUUUCAAAUUUCAUCAAGAAAUGUAAAGGAUCUAUUUGAGUAGUCAAAAUACAAUUAAAGGA
rnacentral:lncRNA from 1 species